CCUACGGGUGGCAGCAGUGAGGAAUAUUGGUCAAUGGACGGAAGUCUGAACCAGCCAUGCCGCGUGCAGGAAGACGGCUCUAUGAGUUGUAAACUGCUUUUGUACAAGGGUAAACCUGAAUACGUGUAUUCAGCUGAAAGUACUUUACGAAUAAGGAUCGGCUAACUCCGUGCCAGCAGCCGCGGUAAUACGGAGGAUGCAAGCGUUAUCCGGAUUUAUUGGGUUUAAAGGGUGCGUAGGCGGAUUGAUAAGUUAGAGGGUAAAUGUCCGAGCUUAACUCGGGAACUGCCUUUAAGACUGUGGAUCUAGAGUGUAGAUGAGGUAGGCGGAAUGUGUGGUGUAGCGGUGAAAUGCUUAGAGAUCAUACAGAACACCGAUUGCGAAGGCAGCUUACCAAUCUGUAUCUGACGUUGAGGCACGAAAGCGUGGGGAGCAAACAGGAUUAGAUACCCUGGUAGUC
rnacentral:rRNA from 1 species